CUGAGGCUGGUUUGAGGCUGUCACUUAUGUCUCUGGCCCUUGUAUAUCCAGGGAAAGAGGAAGGCUAUGACAGACAGAGUGGGCUCAGAUCGGAGGUGUGAACAGAUCUCACCCACCGAUGGACGUCUGAAUCCACAGUGAUGACAUCAUUGGAAAGUACGGGAUGCUGGGUCCCAGGUGGAGUUUUGGACACUGGACUGUCUGAGAUCAACAAGGUUUCUCAGCAUGUGAAACUUUCUGUGUAAAAACUGGGUCCAGCCGGAGAACACUCGGUUUAUGGUCAUGCAGCCUCUGGAGCACACGCAUAACCCAAGGGACAGGAGAGGAGCCAGCAGCCAUUCAUCCCAACUCUCUUAGUGAAUGAUCUUAAUGGUGAGGCAUCCUCAUGUUCGUCCUGUGUGCUGCGAAGGCUCCUGUUCACCCCUCUCUCUGAUUCCUGACUGGAUGAGGAUGCUUAUAGUUUCUGGAUAUUUAAAAGUUUUUCCUUUGAAGAUUGUUACACAUCCUUUAUCAGGUUGAAAACUGGUUUUAAACUCCUGGUACGAUAACCAUGAUAAAUUAAUGAUAAAUAAAAGUUUUGUACAUCUAUGAA